GACGAAGGAUGCAAGCGUUAUCCGGAUUCAUUGGGUUUAAAGGGUGCGUAGGCGGACUUGUAAGUCAGUGGUGAAAUCUCUUUGCUUAACAAAGAAACUGCCAUUGAUACUGCUAGUCUAGAGUAUAGAUGACGUUGGCGGAAUAUGACAUGUAGUGGUGAAAUACUUAGAUAUGUCAUGGAACACCGAUUGCGAAGGCAGCUAACGAAACUAUAACUGACGCUGAGGCACGAAAGUGCGGGGAGCAAACAGG
rnacentral:rRNA from 1 species